GUGAAUCAUCGAAUCUUUGAACGCAAAUUGCACUCUCUUCGGAGAGUAUGCCUGUUUGAGGGUCAGCCUAAAAAAAACCGCCAAGGUUCCUUUUUCGCGGUGACUUUGUCCGGAAUUGGGGUCUUCUUAAACCUUUGGUUUUUAGGCGGCUUAAAUUUUUUUUUCCGAUCCCAGGAACGUUUUUAAGUUUCA
rnacentral:misc_RNA from 1 species